AUGAGGUAUAGGGCGGUAUGUAUGAGGUAAAGGGCCGUGUGUAUGAGGUAUAAUGAGGUAUAGGGCGGUAUGUAUGAGGUAUAAUGAGGUAUAGGGCGGUAUGUAUGAGGUAUAAUGAGGUAUAGGGCUGUAUGUGUGUGAGGUAUAGGGCGGUAUGUAUGAGGUAUAAUGAGGUAAAGGGCCAUGUGUGUGAGGUGAGGUAAAAGGCGGUAUAUAUGAGGUAUAGGGCCAUGUAUGAGGUAUAUGACUGUAUGUGUGAGGUAAAGAGCUGUAUAAGGUAAAGGGCGGUAUGUAUGAGGUACUGUAUAUGACUGUAUGUGUGAGGUAUAGGGCUGUAUAAGGUAAAGGGCGGUAUGUAUGAGGUAUAUGACUGUAUGUGUGAGGUAUAGGUCUGUAUAUGUGAGGUGUAGGGAUGUAUGUAUGAGGUAUAUGACUGUAUGUGUGAGGUAUAAGGCUGUAUAAGGUAAAGGGCGGUAU